rnacentral:rRNA from 1 species
AUUGAACGCUGGCGGCAGGCUUAACACAUGCAAGUCGAGCGGGGUGAUGGUGCUUGCACUAUCACUUAGCGGCGGACGGGUGAGUAAUGCUUAGGAAUCUGCCUAUUAGUGGGGGACAACAUCUCGAAAGGGAUGAUAAUACCGCAUACGUCCUCCGGGAGAAAGCAUGGGAUUACUUGUGACCUUGCGCUAAUAGAUGAGCCUAAGUCGGAGUAGCUAGUUGGUGGGGUAAGGGCCUACCAAGGCGACGAUCUGUAGCGGGUCUGAGAGGAGGAUCCGCCACACUGGGACUGAGACACGGCCCAGACUCCUACGGGAGGCAGCAGUGGGGAAUAUUGGACAAUGGGGGGAACCCUGAUCCAGCCAUGCCGCGUGUGUGCAGAAGGCCUUAUGGUUGUAAAGCACUUUAAGCGAGGAGGAGGCUCUUUUGGUUAAUACCCAAGAUGAGUGGACGUUACUCGCAGAAUAAGCACCGGCUAACUCUGUGCCAGCCGCCGCGGUAA